AAAGAACAAGGGACUUGCGCACUUAGUCAGACAGAGAAGAGGAGAUAUUUGCUUGUUGGCGUGAGAAGGGACUGGUCUGGCGCGACGAACCAGACGCAUGUCUGAUCCCACGCGCGAGGCCACGAGAAAGCAGAGGAGUAGAGGGGGUCGAAGGGAAGAAAACCACCAGGGCCGACUGCCUUUUCCUCUCCUCAUCCUCGCUGCCUUCCACGGGCUCACCUACCACCAGAUCUACAGCAACGCGGAAAACAGGGGAUCAAGGGGAACGAGAGUGAGAACCAUAUCGAGGGUUUCGGGAGGCUUGCGACGUGGCUGAUCCAGCGCGAGGCCUCUCCUUCCUAACCUUUAACUUCUCCUGCUUCUCUUCAACACCGACGCUCGUGCUUCUCUGCUCCAACUUCGACGACCGCCGCUGCGGCAUCUCCUCGACACCAACAGCGGGACGCCGGACUCCUGGUGGUGCUCUGCUUCGGGUGGUCGGCUAACCUCCCACGAAGACCGCCAUGAUUCCUUCCCAAGGCCGGGUCCUCCGCUGCUGAUCUUCACCAAGACUUCUUCACCACGCUACAGCUCUACCCCAAGGAUCCUCUACUGCUACUCUUCUUCGCCUGCAACAUCUACAGCUUUGAAUCGAAGAUCAUCAAGACCCAUAGGCUCUGAACCUCACUCUUCUCUUGUUCCUGUUCUCUGAACAUAUGCACUGUUGGGUCUGAAAUUUACUUUGUUACCUGUGCACCUUUGCUGAACCCUCAUGUAUCCUUGCUCAAUUGUUGUGACCCUUUGCUGGAUAUGAAGUUAGUAGUUAUUCUCCUGUAAGCUGCUGUCACUUUAAUAGGUUGCAUGAGUUGUGUGUGAUGUCUGAACCAUCUUCCAUGUGCUAGUGUUACUUGUCUGUUUGAUUACAAGAAAACCACCAAAAAAGAGACAGUCCUAUUUCUGAACCUUAACCUUUGUUGCAUAUUAUUUUGUUUUACCUUGUUCGAGUGGCUGCUUGUUGUCACUACGGUUUGAUUCAUCUGUUCAGUUGUUCUGAAUGUUUCGAAUGUGUGCUUCGAAGUUCUAGAUCCGUGUGGAGAACACGACAUCCAUAGUUUGGGCGCAAAAACCCUGCUAUAUUACAUCUGAUCACUUUGGCGCCGUUGCCGGCGAUCUAAAUUUCAUGAUCACAUUUGUAGAAGUAGAUCAGGAUUUAUUUUAGGUCGAUUCCGUAGUAUUGCUGGCAACUAACCAUUUCCUAACAUUGUCUGCAAUUUUGAGAAAACUAGCAUGUGUCAAUUUCAGGAACUUUACAGGAAAUUGUCUUAUGUUACAAUCUGAAGAAAGUUCACUAGAGCCAUUUGAUCCAGAAAUUGAAAGGACUUUAUUGAGAAGAAGAAGGGAGAAUCAGACACGGCUUCAAGUUGCUGAAACUUUGCAAGAUCAAGAAGAAGGAAAGAUGCCUGAUCCAGUACCUUUGCUCAGGGACUUGUGGAUCCCAAGAGAUCAUGGGAUACCAGGAGAAAUGGUGCAACCAAUUAUUCAGGAGAACAAUUCUGAAUUGAAGCCUGCUCUGAUUAACAUGGUACAACAGUCUAGAUUUGGUGGAACAGCUUUAGAAGACCCACAUGAGCAUAUAAGGACUUUCUUGGAGUAUUGUAACACCCUCAAGCAAAAUGGAGUUUCACCGAGUGCUAUCAGAUUAUCAAUAUUCCCAUUUUCCUUGAGAGAUGGAGCAAGAGUAUGGCUUCACUCGUUGCCUGAAUAUCUGAAGGAUACUUGGGAGACUUUAUUGCAGACAUUUCUUGAGAGAUACUUUCCACCAACAAAAGCUGCUGAAUACAGGGACAAGUUAACAAGGUUUACUUAAUAUGAUGGAGAAAGUUUGUAUGACGCAUGGCAAAGAUUCAACUCUUUAAUUAGAAUGUGUCCUCAUCAUGGUUUAGAAAGAUGGCUGGUGUUACAAACCUUUUACAAAGGACUGUCCACUCAAACCAGAGCUUUUGUCGAUUCUGCUGCUGGAGGAGGAAUCAUGAACAAAACCCUUGAUGAAGCAUUUGCAUUUGCAUUGAUUGAAAGUUUGGCGUCUCAUCAUUUCCAAUGGUCAAGUGAAAGAGCAAUAGCAUCACCUCAUGCUGGUUUGUAUAAUGUCUCUGCAAAUGAUAGCAUGGUGGCUCAGAUUGACAUCUUGAACAAGAAGAUGGAUAGUAUCAUGUCAAAUUGCAUUGGUACAUCUGUAGCUUCAGUAAGUGUGCCUCAAAUGUGUGAUGUAUGUGGCCAAGCAGGUCAUCCUUCAACAGAAUGUACCUUCUAUUCAGCAAUCAGAUCAUCGGUUUCAGAAGUAAGUUAUGCCCAAAGUCAAGGUCCAUUCUCAAACAACUACAAUCCUUCUUGGAGGAACCAUCCAAACUUUUCGUACAAGAACAAUCAGUCAUAUGCAUGUGGAUCGACAGUACAAGGAAAUCGACCACCAAAUCAUCCAAGUCAAUUUCAAGUGCCGAGGCAGAAUGAACAACAAAAUGUUCAGUCAGAUGGAAUGGAGGAAAUCAUGAAGAUGCAGUUGGAAUUGAUGAACAAGAUGACAAAUGAAGUUAAUGGCUUAAAGGAUUCUGUUAAGAUGCUUGUGAGCAAAAUGGAUAGUAUGGUGGGAGAAAAUGAAGCAAGGCUUCAUGCUCAACCAACUCCAAACCCGAAAGCUCACUGUGGGGCAAUAUCUUCAGUUGAUGCAGUGACUACAAGGAGUGGAGUUAUGACAUGACCAUUACUUCCUAUUCCGAAGACAUAUGUUCCUCCUGCUAUGAGGCCAAGUUCAUCCGGAACUCCAUCUUCAACAUCAUCAGAGAAAAUAAAGGAGAAAGAAGUUGAUUACUGAAUUGAAACUGAAGUCGAAUUUCCUGGUUUUCAAACAAGAGCUGAGCCUUUGCUAGAGGAAGCAAUAACAACCAAUAACAUUCCCUUUCCUGAGAGGUUCAACAAACCCAAAGAUGACAAGCAAUUUGCCAAAUUUUUGGAAACUAUGAAAGGAGUUCAGAUUACUAUUCCUAUUCUUGAAGCUGUGUUGCAUGUUCUGAUGUAUGCCAAAUAUUUCAAGGAAUUAUUAACAAAGAAAAGAAGCAUGUCUGAGCCAGAAGUUGUAACUCUAUCAAAGGAAUGCAGUGCAAUAAUUCAGAAUUCCAUGCCUCAAAAAUUGGAUGAUCCAGGAAGUUUUUGUGUACCAUGUGUGAUUGGAAACAAAACUUAAAGUGCUCUGUGUGACUUGGGCUCAAGUGUUAGUGUGUUACCACAUUCAGUUAGCAAAAGGAUGUUCUUGGGAGAAUUAAAUACAACAUCCAUAACUCUUCAGUUAGCCGACAUAAUUUAUUGGAGACCUGUUGGAAUUCUUGAGGAUGUUCCGAUCAAAGUUGGGAAGUUUGCUUAUCCGGUUGACUUUGUAGUGCUAGAUAUGGAGGACAAGAGUGAGGCUGUGAUUCUUGGAAGACCAUUUUUGGCCACAGCUGGUGCACUUAUUGAUGUCCAAGAAGCUAAAUUGAGCUUGAGGUUUGGAAAGGAAAAGGUGGAGUUUGACAUGAAGCAUGCAACACAUGUUCCGCAAAGAGAAAAACACUGCUAUAGAAUUGAUACAUUACAUAAAUGUGUGGAAGAAGGUUAUGAAGAGAGGUAUGGAAGUAAUUGUUGUGAAGUAGUUGAGGAGGACAAUAGUGAAAUUAGAUAUGAGGAAAUCAGACCUGUGAGCAUGUUGGAAAGUAGUGCAAGACCAUUAGAGAAGAUGCAACCAAGGCAAAUAGAAAUGGAACUACUUCCAGAAAGUUUGAAGUAUGCAUUCUUAGACAAUGAAAACCAGUGGCCAAUUAUCGUAAACAGCGAGUUGAUGGAAAUGCAAAUGAAAGGGCUUCAAGCUAUUUUGCAAAAGUACAAGGAUGUUAUUGGAUAUUCGAUUGAUGACAUGAAAGGGAUAAAUCCUGUUGUCUGCUCUCAUAGGAUUUACUUGAAAGAAAGCAGUGUGCCAAUUAGAGAAAGUCAAAGAAGGUUAAAUCCCAAUUUACAAGAGGUUGUCAAAAAGGAGAUUCUUAAAUUGCUCUCUGCUGAUAUCAUAUGCCCAAUUUCGGACAGCGAGUGGGUGAGCCCUAUUCACAUGGUGCCCAAAAAAGGAGGAAUAACUGUCAUCGAAAACGAACAAGGGCAAACGAUUCCUAGUAGGACUGUCACAAGGUGGAGAAUGGUCAAUGAUUUCAGAAAGUUAAAUGAAGUAACAAGGAAGACCAUUUUCCUUUACAUUUUAUUGACCAAAUGCUGGAAAGGCUUGCUGGGCAUGAAUAUUUCUGCUGCUUAGCUGGAUAUUCAGGAUUCUUGCAAAUCCCAAUUCACCCAGAUGAUCAAGAUAAAACAACUUUCACUUGCCCAUACGGAACAUUUGCUUACAAAAGACUAGCUUAUGGACUUUGUAAUGCACCCCCAACUUUUCAAAGGUUUAUACUCUCUAUAUUCUCUGAUACGAUAGGAAUCAAAGUGGAGGUGUUCAUAGAUGAUAUUACAGUCGUUGGAAAAAGUUAUGAAGAUUGCUUGAAUAAUCUGGCAGCAGUUCUUCAGAGGUGUUCAGAACACAAUCUAGUCCUAAACUGGGAGAAGUGUCAGUUUCUUGUAAGAGAAGGAAUUAUUUUGGGACAUUUGGUAUCUAAAAGAGGAAUUGAGGUUGAUCAAGCAAAAGUUGAAGUAAUAUCAAAACUUCCACCACUUGUAAAUGUGAAGGGAGUGAGGAGCUUUUUGGGACAUGCUGGGUUCUAUAGACGAUUCAUAAAGGAUUUAUCCAAGAUAGCCAAACCCCUCACUAAUAUCCUAAACAAUGAUGUUAAGUUCAACUUUGAUGCAGAAUGUGAAAAAUCCUUCAACUUGCUCAAGGAAGCAUUGGUCACUGCUCCAGUAGUCCAACCCCCUGACUGGGAAUUACCAUUUGAGAUAAUGUGUGAUGCAAGCGACUUUGCUGUAGGUGCAGUACUUGGACAAAGAAAAGGAAAAGAUUUGCAUGUAAUAUACUAUGCUAGCAAAACACUUGAUGAUGCUCAAGCUAAUUACACAACCACCUAAAAGGAGUUGUUGGCAGUAGUGUAUGCCUUUGAAAAAUUCAGGCCAUAUCUUGUGGGAUCUCAUUGUGUAGUUUACACAGACCACGCUGCAAUAAGAUAAUUACUCAGCAAGAAAGAAGCCAAGCCAAGGUUAAUUAGAUGGAUACUCUUGCUUCAAGAAUUUGAUGUGGAAAUCAAGGACAAGAAAGGAGCUGAAAAUGUUGUGGCAAGAUCACUUGUCGAGAUUGCAAAACAAUGCAGUAGACUCCUUACCUAUCAAUGAUGUUUCACCAGGGAGCAAUCUUAUGCAAGUUACUAGUAUACAAAACUAUACACCAUGGUACGCAGAUAUAGUUAAUUACCUGGUCUGUAACAAAGUUCCUAUAGAUUUUGGGUAUCAAAAGAAGAAGAAAUUCCUAUCAGAUAUGAAGCACUUCUUUUGGGAUGAACGUUACUUAUUCAAGCAUUGUGCUGAUGGUAUUGUUUGAAGAUGCUUGCCAGAAAGUGAAACUAAAAGUGUGAUCUAUCAUUGCCAUUCAUCCCCUUAAGGAGGUCAUGCAAGUACUCGAAAGACUCAAGCAAAAAAUUUGCAAGCAAGAUUUUAUUGGCCAACUUUAUUCAAGGAUGUACAUUCCUAUAUUGAACCUUGUGAUCCUUGUCAGAGAACUGGAAAGAUUUCAACAAGGCAAGAGAUGCCUCAAAAAGGAAUUCUUGAAGUAGAGCUCUUUGAUGUAUGGGGAAUUGAUUAUGUUGGACCCUUGCCAUCAUCAAAAGGGUACAAAUACAUAUUGGUGGCAGUGGACUAUGUGUCAAAAUGGGUUGAGGCUGUGCCAACCGUCAAUGCUGAUUCCAAGUCAGUUUGCAAUUUAUUCAAGCAAGUGAUCUUUCCAAGAUUUGGUGUGCCACAGAUUGUUAUCAGUGAUGGAUGAACGCAUUUCAACAACUCCCAACUAGAAUCUCUCUUAGCAAAAUAUGGAGUUCAUAAUCACAGAAUUACAACUCCAUAUCACCCACAAGCAAACGGACAAGUGGAGCUGUCUAAUAGAGAAAUAAAGGCUAUCCUCGAGAAGGUAGUAUCAAAGUCAAGGUCUGACUGGGUACUGAAAUUACCAGACACACUGUGGGCAUAUAGGACAGCUUAUAAAACACCAAUUGGAAUGUCACCAUUCAGGUUAAUAUAUGGAAAAGCAUGCCAUCUACCCAUUGAACUUGAACACAAAGCUCAGUGGGCACUAAGGAAACUCAAUAUCGACCUUGAUACAGCAGGAAAACAUACAAAACUUCAACUCUGUGAAAUGGAAGAACUGAGAGCUGACUCUUACGAGAGUGCAAGAAUCUACAAAGAAAGACCAAGCUCUGGCAUGACAAGCAUAUAUUGAGGAAAGAAUUUCAUCUUGGACAGUUGGUAUUGGUCUACGAUACUAGGUUUCAUUUCUUUCCCGGUAAAUUCAAGUCAAGAUGGUAUGGCCCUUGCAAGGUGAAGAAGAUUAUGAAAAGUGGUGCUAUCCAAGUGCAAAGUACUUCUGGAGGUCUCUUCCUUGUAAAUGGUCAAAGACUGAAGCCUUACAUCCCUGGAGACACACCUCUGAUUUCUGAAGAUGAGAAUGCAAGCGAAGAUCAAGACCUGGAGAAGGAAAUUCAAGAAGGCGAGGGGAGCCAAGAGGUGGUGUCAAUCCCUGCAUGACCCUGACCCCACUGAAGAGACAUGGUCGAGCUAAAGACCUAAAACAAGCACCUUUCAGGAGGCAACCUGAAUCUUUAAUAAGUUCUUUUCCUUAUUUAGUUUUCAUAGAAAAGUUUUUAUGUGUUUAUGUCUUUCUUUUUCAGUGAAUAAAGGCAAGGCGAGCACAAACAGGGAACGCAAACAGAGAAGAGUGGAGAGAAGAAACUAGGGGAGAAUAUUAUACAAAUACCAGGUGAUUCUGUUCCACUUGAAGCAACCUUUAGAAAAUUCAGUAUGAGGACUGGCGUUUAAUUGCAUUGAAAAUCUUUCUUUUUCUGUAUUGUGACACGUUACUCAUCACUGCAAAGUAGGAUUCACCCCAAGAAGAUUGUUGAUUCUCUUAAUACUAAAACUAUGCAGUUGUAUUCUUCUUAUGGUAAAUUGUGAUAAUGAAUACUUUAUACCUCCGUGUAAAUGUUCAAUGGGAAUGCCUUGAGUCUAAGUGAAACCUACUGAUGAAUUGAUGUGUUGUGUGUGACUGUCCCAAGUUAAGCUAAGUAACUCGUGGCACUUAAGUAGUAACUAUGAUCUCUGGAUCUGUAGUCUGUGAAAAACAGUGCCAUUAGCUAUGGAUUUCUCUUUCAAUUACUCCUGUUUUACUUAAGCUAAGUAAUUUUCAAAUAAAUAUAUAAUAUGUUUAUAAUAAUUUAAGUCCGAUCGACCUACAGUAGCAUGUCAUGUUCCCUGGAUUGGUGGCUUGUGAAAUCUGGUAGAUUGGACUGUAAAAUUUCAUAUAAAUGCUAUAAUUGUCGAACCAGGUGUAUACCAUGUUCUCUGGAUCGGUGGUAUGUUCCUUUGGGGGAGACAAUAACUAAAAAAUGCUAUAAUUGUCGAACCAGGUGUAAACCAUGUUCUCUGGAUCGGUGGUAUGUUCCUUUGGGGAGACAAUAACAAAAAAAUUCUAAUAAUUGGUCAAGCCAGGUGUAUACCAUGUUCUCGGGAUCGGUGGUAUGUUCCUUUGGUGAGACUGAUAUAAUAUCAUUACUUGUGCUUUAAAUUCAAUAAGUAACUUGUUUUUUUAAUUGAUUUUGGGUCCCAGCUUAUCUUAGGGCUGAAGACACAGCCAGCUCUUGAUUAAUAGGAUUCACUUUCACUCAAGGCCAUUGACUUGGAACAUUUACAGUGUGUUAUAAAUUAUUGCUUAUCGCAAUUUAGCUUCAGUAGAGUACAUUUGCCUAGUUCUAGUAUUGUCGGAAUUACUAUCUAUCCGAAAGUGCAUCUUUACGAGGCAGUGUGGGUAGUGUCACUAUCAUUUUCCUUUACUUGAGGACAAGCAAAGAUCUGGGUGUGGGGGAGAUUGAUAGAACUUUCAUUCAUAUAGUAUUUCAAGCCUUUUUGCAUAACAAAUCAAACCUAUGACCAUAGUUUUUUACUUAUAAAGUAUUCAUUCUUAUAGAAAUAUUCCUAUUAUGAUAUUUUUACAAGACUUACUCAUAUCUUGCAGGACUGGUGCGUUUAGGCACCCAAACUUCAUCGAAAGUGUUUACAACCUUCAAGCUAGGGAUCAUCUUGUGCGAAAAGAUAGAACUAGAAGGGGCGAGCUGAAAAGAACCAGGGACUUGCGCACCUAGUCAGGCAGAGAAGAGGAGAUGUCUUCUUGUUGGUGUGAGAAGGGACUGGUCUGGCGCGACCAACCAGACGCAUGUCUGAUACCACGCGCGAGGCCACGAGAGAGUAGAGGAGUAGAGGGGGUCGAAGGAAAGAAAACCACCAGGGCCGACUGCCUUUUUCUCUCCUCCUCCUCGCUUCCUUCCACGGGCUCACCUACCACCAGAUCUACAGCAACACAGAAAACAGGGGAUCAAGGGGAACGAGAGCGAGAACCAGCUCGAGGGUUUCGGGAGGCUUGCGGUGUGGCUGAUCCACCGCAAGGCCUCUCCUUCCUGACCUUCAACCUCUGCUGCUUCUCUUCAAAACCAACGCUCGCGCUGCUCUACUCCAACUCCGAUGACCGCCUCUGCGGCAUCUCCUCGACACAAACAGCGGGACGCCGGACUCCUGGUGGUGCUCUGCUCCAGGUGGUCGGCUGACCUCCCGCGAAGCCCUCCAUGAUUCCUUCCCAAGGCCGGGUCCUCCGCUGCUCAUCUUGACCAAGACUUCUUCACCACGCUGCAACUCUACCCCAUAGGCUCUGAACCUCUCUCUUCUCUUGUUCCUAUUCUCUGAACAUAUGCACUGUUGGGUCUGAAAUUUACUCUGUUACCUGUGCACCUUUGCUGAACCCUCAUGUAUCCUUGCUGAAUUGUUGUGACCCUUUGCUGGAUAUUAAGUUAGUAGUUAUUCUCCUGUGAGCUGCUGUAACUUUAAUUGGUUGCAUGAGUUGUGUGUGAUGUCUGAACCAUCUUCCAUGUGCUAGUGUUACUUGUUUGUUUGAUUACAAGAAAACCACACAAAAAAGACAGUCCUAUUUCUAAACCCUUUACCUUUGCUGCAUAUUAUUU
rnacentral:lncRNA from 1 species